CAGCAGCCGCGGUAAUACGUAGGCGGCAAGCGUUGUCCGGAAUUAUUGGGCGUAAAGGGAGCGCAGGUGGGACGGUAAGUCCGUCUUAAAAGGCAGGGGCUCAGCCCCUGUAAGGGAUGGAAACUAUCGAUCUUGAGUGCCGGAGAGGAAAGCGGAAUUCCCAGUGUAGCGGUGAAAUGCGUAGAUAUUGGGAAGAACACCAGUGGCGAAGGCGGCUUUCUGGACGGCAACUGACACUGAGGCUCGAAAGCCAGGGGAGCGAACGGGAUUAGAUACCCCAGUAGUCCCUGUCUCUUAUACC
rnacentral:rRNA from 1 species